GACAGAGGGUGCAAGCGUUGUUCGGAAUCAUUGGGCGUAAAGGGCGCGUAGGCGGUCAGGUAAGUCAACUGUGAAAGCCCUGGGCUCAACCUGGGAAUUGCGAUGGAUACUGGCAAGCUAGAGUACGGUAGAGGAUGGUGGAAUUCCCGGUGUAGCGGUGAAAUGCGUAGAGAUCGGGAGGAACACCCGUGGCGAAGGCGGCCAUCUGGACCAGUACUGACGCUGAGGCACGAAAGCGUGGGGAGCAAACAGG
rnacentral:rRNA from 1 species